rnacentral:misc_RNA from 1 species
CAGAAGAAAACAUCAAACCUCAUGCCAUAAUGAUACCAGUACCACUACAAGGCCACAUUGUACAAUUCAUCAAUCUAGCAAUAAAGCUUGCAUCAAAGGGUCUCACCAUAACUUUUGUCAAUACACAUAUAACUCAUCAAAGGUUGAUGAAAGCUCAAUCAGUCUCUGAAAGCUCAUCGGAUUACAACAUUUUCUCCGAGGCACAGAAGUCUGGCCUUGACAUACGUUACACAACGAUAAGUGAUGGUUUCCCACUGAAUUUCGAUAGGAUGGGGAACCAUGAUCAAUUCAUGGAAGGGUUGUUCCAUGUUUUCUCAACACAUGUAGAUGAUCUUAUUGGAAAUCUCGUCAACUCUAACCAUAAUCCUCCAGUUUCCUGCUUAAUCGCGGACACUUUCUUUGUCUGGCCAUCAGUAAUCGCGAAGAAAUAUGAUCUCCUCAACAUAUCAUUCUUUACUGAAGCAGCUCUGGCAUUCACAAGUUACUAUCAUAUGGACCUCUUAACACUAAAUGGUCACUUUGGUUCCCAAGAUAAUCGUGAGGACACGAUAGAUUACAUACCAGGCGUUCAAGCUAUUGAGCCAGGGGAUCUUCCUUCGUACAUUCAAGAUUCCGAGCCAUGGGAUACAAUGCAUCGAUACAUAUUUAAGUCACUUGAAGAUGCAAGGAACGCGGAUAUGAUCAUUUGCAACACAGUACAAGAGUUAGAGUCGUCAACAAUAUCAGCUCUACAAGAGAAGAAGCCAUUCUAUGCAUUAGGACCAGUUUUCCCAAAUGGCUUCACGAAUAACACCACUCCAACGAAGUCGAACCUAUGGAUGGAAUCAG